AAAAUAUGAAGACAAGAUGUCUAGAUUGUGUUUGAAUAUAGUAUUUAGAUAAAAUGAAUAAUAUGAUGUGAGGGUAUAAAGAAUAGAAGAAUUAUUUGAUGGAGGAAUUAUGAACAUAGAGUAAGCAAAGAAGUAACUUGAGUUAAAUAUGAGGUUGUAUGUAAAAUAAUGAUGUUAUAUUUGAGAAUGAAUUUUUAUUAGAACAAAUUACAAAUAAAAAUAUUACGUGCUUUGUGUUUCGGCACGUAAGAAAAAUAUUGAUGGACUAAUGAUAUAAUGACACUUGAUUGAUUCAGGAGUUGUGUCUGGAGCUGGUUAUCAGACAGGAGGAGCUGGGUCAUCCCGAGCAGAAGGUACACCGCGAGGUGAUGCAGAUCGUUAGAUGUAGGAAUACUCAUGUUUAUGAAUUACUAUUUUGGAAUGUAAUAUUCAUGUCUUUACUUUGAGUGUAAAUCCUUUUGUGUUGUAAAAAUUAAGUAGAAGGUGUAAUAUGUAGUGGAUGUAUUAUAUAUAUGUAUAGUUGUUAGUAUGACCAAAUCAUUUUCAAAAUGAUAAGAUAAGAUUUAUUAUAAAUAUAAUAUGACUCUUAAUCUUAA